CAUAAAUAAUGAUCAGUUUUUGGAAAGACUAAUUGUUUUGAUUCACAAGGAUCAAAGGAUCAUCAAGAGCCACGGGUAUUCAUUUUAUUUUUGGACUCUCAAAUUCAUUUUUGGCUGAACUAUCUCUUUAAGUCUUAAAUGUUUGUGUUAAUACAGUUAAUAUUCCUUUCUUUUCCACACAGCCAAGGCAUAACACAAAGAUACUUUUUAUUUCUCCUUCUCCUUUCUGCUUUCCCUCUUAUUAUCUCUUUCUCUCUCUGCACACCUGCUGUUAGUUUGUUAGCCGAGUACAGUUGCGCUGGAAGAUUCUGCCAUACUCUCCAUGUAUAAUUGAGAACAUUCAAGGCACGCCGCCAGACCACCACAAUAUGCUCUCUUUCCCGAGCGAGAAUCUGCUUUCAAAAGCUCCCUGUAUCAAUAUUUCACAUCUUUUAUGACUGUUAUUAUGUAGCCAUGUUAUAAGCUGGCAUUUCAAACAGAGCCGAGUUGGCCAAAAUGUAGGUAAACCUUUAAAAAUCAGGGCUUUUUUUAAAGAUUGCAGAAAGUUUAAUUUAUUAACUGCAAUGCAUGAGGGUCCCAUAGAGAGCAUGAGGUCACAGGGCAGUUAGCGGACCAACAGGCCUUAAUCACGUCUCGUCCUCUCCUUUGCACUUUACCAUAUAAAACUCAACCCGUCGCAUACCAGUGGUCUACCAGGAAAUCGCCCUGCAAGAAAAAAGCCCCAGAAAUGUCAAUUGCCUGUUUGCCGCACUGGAUUAUAGCAGAGAGGGCCAAGGGAAACUUCAACGACAUCAGAGACUGUUGAAGUGUGUCUUAAACGACUCGCUCAAAGCGUUCACUUUUGAGGCCAGCACGCCAUCUGAUUGUAACCCUCGGUAGACAAAUGUAUUAUAAGAUUUAAUCAAUGGACCAGAUGCUCAGAAGUCUAAAUUCCUCCAAAGAGAGAGAAGAUACAACAACAGUGAAGGACUCGGACACAGAGGCUAUAUCACUAAUAAGGUGUAUCCAAAGAAUCCACUCAAUGGGAGGCUCGCCAGUCCA